CACCUUAAUUUCUUUUCGACUGAAGAAAGAAAGACAUGGACAUCUUGGAUGGCAUUGGGUCUUUUCCCACAUAGGACGCUGGGGACAUGCGAAUGACACCAAGCUGAAGGUCCACAGACUCCACACGACUGUAAUAUGACUUGAUACUCGAUAUGAUUCUGGGAAUGAGGUUUGGUCCUUCCGUUGGGGAGAAUAAAUGCAUCAUGUCUGUCCAGACAUAUUUAAACACACAGUUUUUACUGUCAACCUUCCUUUUCUUCAGAUCUGACAAUUUGGAAGACGCCAUUGUCAUAGCUUUUCCGACACUUAUUUUGCUAACGGCACUUGGCAGAACAAAUUAGCUACCUGAGAUGUGUCAGCAUCACUACGUUAAGUCAGGAGAGUGUUGUCAUAGUGAUGCCAUUACGCUGCUCUGAUUCGUUGUCAUAUGCCAACAGUUAAUAACAGAAAGGGAGAGAAAUCACUGGAUUUUUCUUGGUUUUAUAUGAUACUGUUAGACAUUUAGCAUGCUAGAAGCUAGUAGUUUAAAAGGCCAUUCACACCAAGCUUUGAUACACAUAUGCUUACGCAAUCACUUAGUCUCUGUCCAGAUUAAAUUGUCCUUCAGUCAGAAUCCAGACUGGAAUCUGAUACUGAGAAUCUCUGGUUUAGUGAAGAAUAGUUGAAUUAGACUGAGCCAAAAAAAAAAAAAAAAAAAAAAAAAUUCAAUUUUCACCUGGUUUGUUCUACACAUUAAAUAACAAUAACUUCUGUAUUGUGUAUUGUGUUGAUGGGCUGUGUAUCAGCUGCGUGCCGACCAGUACAACAACCAGUUUACAAAACACACACUUGCAAGAUUUUUCAGCAGCACUUGAAACUUGAUGGAGUUUAAAAAAAAUGUGAUCUGACAGCCGCCAUAUUUCUUGCUUUCUCUACCUCUCACCUGUGGGCAUUGAUAUUCCCUCCAUCUCUUCUAAGCCGCAGUAUUCCGCCUGCCUCUCAAUCUCUCCGCCUGGCAAAUAUUGAUCUAGCAAAAUGACUUCUCAAGGUUAGGGUGCUAGUUUGUGUGCUACAGUAGAUAAGGCGAGGGGCUUGUCAUUUGCCGUCUGCACUACUGAAGCCUGCUGUGUCACGGGGUGGAAGUCUGAGGUUUGCCAAAAUCAGGUGUAAAAUAUUUUUCAUCUUGACUUGUUUACUUAUGUGGGGUUUCUUUUUAUCCUUUUGUCUUGGUUGGAUGUUUUUCAAGAAGAGAUUCUGGAUCUGUACCGCUACUGAAUCUUGAAUGAUUUGUGUGAGGGGAGCACUGUGUUUUUCCUGUGUUAUUUCUGCAGCUUGUCUUGCAUUCAUUUAUAUGACUAAUGGCUUCAUAUUAACAAGUCUCAAAAGCAUCAGUAUCAUCUUUGGCCACUGUGCUGUAUUCAUACUUUGCUGUUAUAAUUAGGACUCACGGUUUUGCAUAUCAGAGCCACACUGCUUAUUAAAUUACCAAAGAUUUUUUUUUCCCAGACCAGAAAACUGUCAAUCAUUUCUUCAGAAAAAUGGGAUAUUAAUAAAAUAUGCAGUCUUUUUAUUAAUGUGUUAAUGAUGCAAAGGCAUUCUCAAUCUGAAAGUGUCUUCAGAGCAAUUAUCUUCUAUUCACUGUUGAGCCUUGGACCCAAAGCUUUCAUUAUUCAAUUGAGAUAGAUAUGAUUAACA